rnacentral:misc_RNA from 1 species
GAUGAAGAACGUAGUGAAAUGCGAUAAGUAAUGUGAAUUGUAGAAUUCAGUGAAUCAUCGAAUCUUUGAACGCACCUUGCGCCCCUUGGUUAUUCCAAAGGGCAUGCCUGUUUGAGUAUCAUGAACACCUCAACUCUUGUGGUUUCCCACAAUGAGCUUGGACUGUGGAGGUUUUGUUGGCCCUGUGGUCAGCUCCUCUCAAAUGGAUCAGCUUACCGGUGUUUGGUGGCAUUACGGGUGUGAUAACUAUCUACGCUCGUGGUCGUCUCCAAAUAACCUCCAGUGAUGGAGGUUCGCUGGAGCUUAUAAAUGUCUCUCCCCAGUGAAGACAGCCUUUGAACGUUCGAUCUCAAAUCAGGUAGGACUACCCGCUGAACUUAAGCAUAUCAAUAAGCGGAGGA